rnacentral:rRNA from 1 species
AUAAGCUAUUAAGGGCUAAUGGUGGAUGCCUAGAUUGUAAGAGGCGAUGAAGGACGUAUUAGGCUGCGAUAAGCCCCGGGGAGCUGCCAAAGAGCUUUGAUCCGAGGAUUUCCGAAUGGGGCAACCCAGUAUAAUGAGAAUUAUAUUACCCUACGGGGAGCUAACCUGGUGAAGUGAAACAUCUCAGUAGCCAGAGGAAGAGAAAUCAAACGAGAUUCCGUCAGUAGCGGCGAGCGAAAGCGGAUUAGGACAAACCCAAUGCUUGCAUUGGGGGUUGUAGGACCAUAACGUGAGACUAAAGAAGAUAGAUGAAAUACUUGGAAAAGUGUAGCAUAGAAGGUGAAACUCCUGUAAUUUAAAUUUUCAAUAGCUCUAAUGGUAUCCUGAGUAGGUCGGAACACGUGAUAUUUUGACUGAAACUGGGGGGACCACCCUCCAAUCCUAAAUACUACUUACAGAUCGAUAGUGAACAAGUACCGUGAGGGAAAGGUGAAAAGUACUCCAGCGAGGAGAGUGAAAUAGAACCUGAAACCAUUAGCUUACAAUCAUUCAGAGCCCUAUGAUUUAUCAGGGUGAUGGACUGCCUUUUGCAUAAUGAGCCUGCGAGUUGUGGUGUCUGGCAAGGUUAAGUCAAGUACGAAGCCGUAGCGAAAGCGAGUCUUAAUAGGGCGAAUUAGUCAGAUGCUGCAGACCCGAAACGAAGUGAUCUAUCCAUGAGCAGGUUGAAGCUGGUGUAAGAGCCAGUGGAGGACCGAACCCGCAGGCGUUGAAAAGUCUUGGGAUGACUUGUGGAUAGGGGUGAAAGGCCAAUCAAACUUCGUGAUAGCUGGUUCUCUCCGAAAUAUAUUUAGGUAUAGCCUUGUGUUGUAGCAUGUAGGGGUAGAGCACUGAAUGGGCUAGGGCUGCUUACCGCGGUACCAAACCCUAUCAAACUAUGAAUACUACAUGUGGAAUCACAGGAGUCAGGCGGUGGGUGAUAAAAUCCAUCGUCGAGAGGGGAACAACCCAGACUAACAGCUAAGGUCCCUAAGUCACAUCUAAGUGGAAAACGAUGUGGAGUUACUGUGACAACCAGGAGGUUGGCUUAGAAGCAGCCAUCCUUUAAAGAAAGCGUAACAGCUCACUGGUCUAGUGAUUCUGCGCGGAAAAUAUAACGGGGCUAAGAUGUGCACCGAAGCUUUAGAUUCGAAUUUAUUCGAGUGGUAGGAGAGCGUUCUAUUCAGCGUUGAAGAUGUACCGGCAAGGAGCGUUGGAGCGGAUAGAAGUGAGCAUGCAGGCAUGAGUAGCGAUAAUUGAGGUGAGAAUCCUCAACGCCGAAAACCCAAGGUUUCCUACGCGAUGCUCGUCAUCGUAGGGUUAGUCGGGUCCUAAGUCGAGUCCGAAAGGGGUAGACGAUGGCAAAUUGAUUAAUAUUUCAAUACCAACAUACAAGCGCGAUGUGGGGACGCAUAGAGUUAAUCGAGCUCACUGAUGGAAUAGUGGGUCGAAGGACGUAGGCUGUAACUUAGGCAAAUCCGGGUAGCAAUAGGCCGAGAUCUUACAGGCUCUUGACACUCUUCGGAGGAGAUGGAGAAUCGAUGAUACUGUCGUGCCAAGAAAAGCCACUAAGUAUAUUGUAUGUUGCCCGUACCGUAAACCGACACAGGUGGGUGGGAUGAGUAUUCUAAGGCGCGUGGAAGAACCCUGGUUAAGGAACUCUGCAAACUAGCACCGUAUCUUCGGUAUAAGGUGUGCCUACUUUGGUAUAUGGACUUGCCCCAAAAAGCUAGAGAGGUUGCAACAAAGAGUCCCUCCCGACUGUUUACCAAAAACACAGCACUUUGCUAACACGUAAGUGGAUGUAUAAGGUGUGACGCCUGCCCGGUGCUCGAAGGUUAACUGAUGAUGUCAGCGCAAGCGAAGCAUUUGAUUGAAGCCCGAGUAAACGGCGGCCGUAACUAUAACGGUCCUAAGGUAGCGAAAUUCCUUGUCGGUUAAAUACCGACCUGCAUGAAUGGCGUAACGAGAUGGGAGCUGUCUCAACCAGGGAUCCAGUGAAAUUGUAGUGGAGGUGAAAAUUCCUCCUACCCGCGGAAAGACGGAAAGACCCCGUGCACCUUUACUACAGCUUGACACUGUAGCUUGGAUAUUCAUGUGCAGGAUAGGUGGGAGGCUAUGAUGACUAGACGCAAGUAGAGUCGGAGCCAUCCUUGAGAUACCACCCUUGAAUAUUUGAGUUACUAACUGCGAACAAUUAUCUUGUAUCAGGACAAUGUCUGGUGGGUAGUUUGACUGGGGCGGUCGCCUCCUAAAAAGUAACGGAGGCUUACAAAGGUUAGUUCAUGGCGGAUGGAAAUCGCCAGUUGAGUAUAAUGGCAUAAACUAGCUUGACUGUGAGACAUACAAGUCGAACAGAGACGAAAGUCGGUCAUAGUGAUCCGGUGGUUCUGUGUGGAAGGGCCAUCGCUCAAAGGAUAAAAGGUACGCCGGGGAUAACAGGCUGAUCU